rnacentral:rRNA from 1 species
UAUGAGAGUUUGAUCCUGGCUCAGGACGAACGCUGGCGGCGUGCCUAAUACAUGCAAGUCGAACGCUUUUUCUUUCACCGGAGCUUGCUCCACCGAAAGAAAAAGAGUGGCGAACGGGUGAGUAACACGUGGGUAACCUGCCCAUCAGAAGGGGAUAACACUUGGAAACAGGUGCUAAUACCGUAUAACACUAUUUUCCGCAUGGAAGAAAGUUGAAAGGCGCUUUUGCGUCACUGAUGGAUGGACCCGCGGUGCAUUAGCUAGUUGGUGAGGUAACGGCUCACCAAGGCCACGAUGCAUAGCCGACCUGAGAGGGUGAUCGGCCACACUGGGACUGAGACACGGCCCAGACUCCUACGGGAGGCAGCAGUAGGGAAUCUUCGGCAAUGGACGAAAGUCUGACCGAGCAACGCCGCGUGAGUGAAGAAGGUUUUCGGAUCGUAAAACUCUGUUGUUAGAGAAGAACAAGGAUGAGAGUAAAACGUUCAUCCCUUGACGGUAUCUAACCAGAAAGCCACGGCUAACUACGUGCCAGCAGCCGCGGUAAUACGUAGGUGGCAAGCGUUGUCCGGAUUUAUUGGGCGUAAAGCGAGCGCAGGCGGUUUCUUAAGUCUGAUGUGAAAGCCCCCGGCUCAACCGGGGAGGGUCAUUGGAAACUGGGAGACUUGAGUGCAGAAGAGGAGAGUGGAAUUCCAUGUGUAGCGGUGAAAUGCGUAGAUAUAUGGAGGAACACCAGUGGCGAAGGCGGCUCUCUGGUCUGUAACUGACGCUGAGGCUCGAAAGCGUGGGGAGCGAACAGGAUUAGAUACCCUGGUAGUCCACGCCGUAAACGAUGAGUGCUAAGUGUUGGAGGGUUUCCGCCCUUCAGUGCUGCAGCAAACGCAUUAAGCACUCCGCCUGGGGAGUACGACCGCAAGGUUGAAACUCAAA